rnacentral:lncRNA from 1 species
ACUUUAUUCAAUCAAUUCUUGUGUCUCUCCAAUGAAUAAAACUAUGCCUUUCAGGAAUGAGGAAACUGAGGAAGAGGUGCUAAACGUGUUUGCACGGCUCACAGAGAUUUGGUCACAGCAGAAAUUGUUGGAUUCAGGAGGCUACUCCACCCCCAUCUGCACCCACAUCACAAGCCCACACCUUCCCCUUCUGGUGUUACUGGAAUACAAAUGCUUCUUUCUCUUAUGUGCUUGCCAAGACCUGGGGCAGAACCAUCAUAUUCCCUGUAUGCCAGUGGAUGUGGUCAUUCCACAAGGAGCUUAUUCACAGAAUCACAUGUUUGGAAGAGACCGUCAAGAUCAUCAUUGAGUCCAACCCGUGACCUAACACCUCAACUAGACCAUGGCACCAAGUGCAACAUCCAGUCUUCCUAAACACAUCCAGGGAUGGUGAUGACACCACCUCCCUGGGGAGGCCAUUCCAAUACUUUAUCAGUCUUUCUGUAAAAAACUUCUUCCUAAUAUCCAAUUUGUAUUUCCCUUGGCACAGUUUAAAACUGUGCCCUCUGGUUCUAUCAGUUGCUGCCUGGAUAAAGAGACCAACAAUCACCUUUCAGGGAGUUAUAGAGAGUGAUAAGGUCACCUCUGAGUCUCCUUUUCUCCAGGCUGAACACCCCCAGCUCCCUCAGCCGUUCCUCACAGGGUUUGUGUUCCAAGCCCCUCUCCAGCCUCGUUGACUCCUCUGGAUGUGCUCAAGUGCCUCAAUGUCCUUCCCAAACUGAGGGCCCAGAACUGACACAGCACUCAAGGUGUGGCCUCACCAGUGCUGAGUACAGGAGGAGAAUGACCUCCCUGCUCCUGCUGGCCACAC